GGCCGGGUAGCUCAAAGUAUAGAGCCGCGGAAUGGUCCGCGAGGUUAGAGGUUCGAGUCCUCUCUCGGCCA
rnacentral:tRNA from 1 species